UACGGAGGGAGCUAGCGUUGUUCGGAAUUACUGGGCGUAAAGCGCACGUAGGCGGCUUUGUAAGUUAGAGGUGAAAGCCCGGGGCUCAACUCCGGAACUGCCUUUAAGACUGCAUCGCUUGAAUCCAGGAGAGGUAAGUGGAAUUCCGAGUGUAGAGGUGAAAUUCGUAGAUAUUCGGAAGAACACCAGUGGCGAAGGCGGCUCACUGGACUGGUAUUGACGCUGAGGUGCGAAAGCGUGGGGAGCAAACAGG
rnacentral:rRNA from 1 species